rnacentral:rRNA from 1 species
CCUACGGGGGGCAGCAGUAGGGAAUUUUCGGCAAUGGGCGAAAGCCUGACCGAGCAACGCCGCGUGAACGAAGAAGGUCUUCGGAUUGUAAAGUUCUGUUAUAGAGGAAGAAUGGUGUACGUAGGAAAUGGCGUACAAAUGACGGUACUCUGUGAGGAAGCCACGGCUAACUACGUGCCAGCAGCCGCGGUAAUACGUAGGUGGCGAGCGUUAUCCGGAAUCAUUGGGCGUAAAGAGGGAGCAGGCGGCCUGGAGGGUCUAUUGUUAAAAGGCAAUGGCUUAACCAUUGUAAGGCGAAGAAACCG